rnacentral:rRNA from 1 species
UGGGGAAUCUUGCGCAAUGGGGGGAACCCGUGACGCAGCGACGCCGCGUGCGGGAUGGGAGGCCCUUCGGGUCGUAAACCGCUUUCAGCAGGGAUGAGACAAGACGGUACCUGCAGAAGAAGCCCCGGCUAACUACGUGCC